rnacentral:lncRNA from 1 species
ACCACAUGGCACGUGCUCGUUUCGCCACCAUGGUUGUUGCCAUGAUAGUAUAAUAAGACGACUACUUUCUGCACGUCACUAUAUAUGGUUGUAUAUGGACAUGAUUCACUUGCUUGCAACAAGAUGACUACUUUCUCAGCGACAUUGAACAACUAUAUGAACAUUCAUCUGCUACCAACAAGACGACUAUUCUUUGCACGUCACAAAAUAUGGCUAUAUGGAC